UAACCUGGUUGAUCCUGCCAGUAAUAUAUGCUUGUCUCAAAGAUUAAUCCAUGCAUGUCUAAGUAUAAAUAGUAUACCUUAAAACUGCAAAUGGCUCAUUAAAACAGUUAUAGUUUAUUUGAUAAUCAAAGGCUACAUGGAUAACCGUGGUAAUUCUAGAGCUAAUACAUGCUGAUUACCUGGCUUCGCGGUUUAGGUUGUAUUUAUUAGAUAUAAACCAAUAUGUUCACGCAUGUUGAAGGAAUUAUAGUAACUGAUCGAAUCCUCGUUCGGCGAGGAUAAAUCAUUCAAGUUUCUGCCCUAUCAGCUUUCGAUGGUAGUGUAUUGGACUACCAUGGCGGUAACGGGUAACGGAGAAUUAGUGUUCGAUUCCGGAGAGGGAGCCUGAGAAACGGCUACCACAUCUAAGGAAGGCAGCAGGAGCGUAAAUUACCCAAUGUCGAUUCGAUGAGCGUAGUGACAAUACGUAACAACGCGGGGACUUACUGUCUUACUCGAUUGCAAUGAGGCGUGUCUAAUAACCUGUACGAGGAACAAGUGGAGGGCAAGUCUGGUGCCAGCAGCCGCGGUAAUUCCAGCUCCACGAGUGUAUAUUUAAGUUGUUGCAGUUAAAAAGCUCGUAGUUGAACUUCUGCGCGCAUCCGGGUGACGUCAGUUGCACGGGCGCGCGCAUCCGUCUGAAAAGUUAUCAGGAUCUUCAGUGGUUCGGUAAUCGAUCAGACAUUUUACUUUGAAAAAAUUAGAGUGUUCAAAGCAGGCCCUAGCCUGAAUACAUUAGCAUGGAAUAAUGGAAUAGGACGCUGUCCAUUUUGAUUGGUUAUUGGAUUGGCGUAAUGAUUAAUAGGGACAGUUGGGGGCAUUUGUAUUUAAUUGUCAGAGGUGAAAUUCUUGGAUUUAUUAAAGACAAACUUAUGCGAAAGCAUUUGCCAAGGAUGUUUUCAUUAAUCAAGAACGAAAGUUAGAGGAUCAAAGACGAUCAGAUACCGUCCUAGUUUUAACUAUAAACUAUGCCGACUCGGUCUCCGUCAAGCCUCUUUAACUUGAUGGGUGCCGUAUGAGAAAUCAAAGUCUUUGGGUUCCGGGGGGAGUAUGGUCGCAAGGUUGAAACUUAAAGGAAUAGACGGAACAUCACUACCAGGUGUGGAUCCUGCGGCUUAAUUUGACCCAACACGGGGAAACUUACCAGCGCAAAACAAGGGUGGGAUUGACAGAUUGAGAGCUCUUUCUUGAUUCUUUGGGUGGUGGUGCAUGGCCGUUCUUAGUUGGUGGAGUGAUUUGUCUGCUUAAUUGCGUUAACGAACGAGACCUCAACCUACUUACUAGACACGCGAUAACAAAAUCGUGCGAUCUUCUUAGAGGGACUAUGUGUUAUUAAGCACACGGAAGUUUGAGGCAAUAACAGGUCUGUGAUGCCCUUAGAUGUGCUGGGACGCACGCGGGCUACAAUGACCCGUUCAGAAAGUCUUACCUGACCCGGAAGGGAGUGGGUAAUCUUUUCAAUACGGGUCGUGCUAGGGAUCGAUCUUUGCAAUUAUAGAUCUUGAACGAGGAAUACCUAGUAAGUGCAAGUCAUCAGCUUGUACUGAUUACGUCCCUGGUGUUUGUACUCACCGCCCGUCGCUCCUACCAAUUUCGAAUGAUCCGGUGAACCUUCUGGAUUGGGCGCAAGCCUGAAAAGUUAAGUAAACCUUAUCAUUUAGAGGAAGGAGAAGUCGUAACAAGGUUUCCGUAGGUGAACCUGCGGAAGGAUCAA
rnacentral:rRNA from 1 species